rnacentral:rRNA from 1 species
UACAGAGGUGGCAAGCGUUGUUCGGAAUUACUGGGCGUAAAGGGCGCGUAGGCGGCCUUCUAAGUCAGACGUGAAAUCCCCCCGGCUUAACCUGGGAACUGCGUCUGAUACUGGGAGGCUAGAGUAUGGGGAGAGGGAUGUAGAAUUCCAGGUGUAGCGGUGAAAUGCGUAGAUAUCGGGAGGAACACCAGUGGCGAAGGCGAGUCUCUGGGAUGAUGCUGACGCUGAGGCGCGAAAGCCAGGGGAGCAAACGGG